GAUCUGGUAGCACAGUGGGUAGUGCGUCUGGUACAAAGGUAACAAGCAGAAGGCCCUGGUUCGAUGCGGGGUCGGGUCA